rnacentral:piRNA from 1 species
UCAACCUCAUAGAGAUCUGCCUUAAUUUGCUU